rnacentral:tRNA from 1 species
GGGUGAUUAGCUCAGCUGGGAGAGCACCUCCCUUACAAGGAGGGGGUCGGCGGGGUUCGAAUCCUGCACGACCCACCA